rnacentral:tRNA from 1 species
GCCUGGGUGGCUCAGUUGGUUAAGUGACUGACUUUGGCUUGGGUCACGAUCUCACAGUUCGUGGGUUCAAGCCCCACAUCAGGCU